GGUAGCGUGGAUUAGGCAUGCAAGUCGAACGGGAUCCGGAAGGCAGCAAUGUCGGCCGGUGAGAGUGGCGGAAGGGCGAGGAACACGUGGGCAACCUGUCUUGAGGUGGGGAAAACCUCGGGAAACUGAGGCUAAUACCGAAUGUGGCGCGGAAGGGCAUCCUUCCUGCGCUAAAGGGGGCGAAAGCUCCCCCUCUUCGAGGGGCUCGCGCACCAUCAGCUUGUUGGCGGGUAACGGCCCACCAAGGCUCACGGUUAGCUGGUCUGAGAGGAUGGCCAGCCGCACUGGGACUGAGAUACUGCCCAGACUCCUACGGGAGGCUGCAGUCGAGGAUCAUUCGCAAUGGGCGAAAGCCUGACGAUGCGACGCUGCGUGGAAGGAUGAAGGCCUUCGGGUUGUAAACUCCUGUCAUGAGGGAAAAGGAGACCUUACCUAAUACGUAGGGGAUUUGAUGGUACCUCAAGAGGAAGGGACGGCUAACUCUGUGCCAGCAGCCGC
rnacentral:rRNA from 1 species